GACGUAGGGUGCAAGCGUUGUCCGGAUUUACUGGGCGUAAAGAGCGCGUAGGCGGUCUGUUAAGUGUAGAGUGAAAUCUCCAGGGCUCAACCCGGAAACUGCUCUGCAUACUGAUAGACUUGAGGGUUGGAGAGGUCUAUGGAAUUCCUGGUGUAGCGGUGAAAUGCGUUGAUAUCAGGAGGAACACCCAUGGCGAAGGCAGUAGACUGGCCAACAUCUGACGCUGAGGCGCGAAAGCGUGGGUAGCAAACAGG
rnacentral:rRNA from 1 species